rnacentral:ncRNA from 1 species
AUGGCUUGAGAUAAAAACACGAUUCGGUUGGUAGUCCGGAUGAGGAGAAAUCCUUCAGUAACCUGCCCUCCUGGGGUUGUCCAUUCUUAAUAUGAGCUUU